UGGGGAAUUUUGGACAAUGGGGGCAACCCUGAUCCAGCCAUCCCGCGUGUGCGAUGAAGGCCUUCGGGUUGUAAAGCUCUUUUGUCAGGGAAGACACGGCCGAGGCUCAUACCUUUGGCUAAUGACGGUACCUGAAGAAUCAGCACCGGCUAACUACGUGCCAGCAGCCGCGGUAAUACGUAGGGUGCAAGCGUUAAUCGGAAUUACUGGGCGUAAAGCGUGCGCAGGCGGUUUUGUAAGUCUGACGUGAAAUCCCCGGGCUCAACCUGGGAAUUGCGUUGGAGACUGCAAGGCUGGAGUCUGGCAGAGGGGGGUAGAAUUCCACGUGUAGCAGUGAAAUGCGUAGAGAUGUGGAGGAACACCGAUGGCGAAGGCAGCCCCCUGGGUCAAGACUGACGCUCAUGCACGAAAGCGUGGGGAGCAAAC
rnacentral:rRNA from 1 species